rnacentral:rRNA from 1 species
CCUACGGGAGGCAGCAGUGGGGAAUUUUGGACAAUGGGCGCAAGCCUGAUCCAGCCAUGCCGCGUGAGUGAAGAAGGCCUUCGGGUUGUAAAGCUCUUUCGGCAGGAACGAAAUGGUUCGUGUUAAUACCACGGACUGAUGACGGUACCUGAAGAAGAAGCACCGGCUAACUACGUGCCAGCAGCCGCGGUAAUACGUAGGGUGCAGGCGUUAAUCGGAAUUACUGGGCGUAAAGCGUGCGCAGGCGGUUUCUUAAGUCAGAUGUGAAAGCCCCGGGGCUUAACCUGGGAACUGCGUUUGAAACUGGGAGACUUGAGUGUGGCAGAGGGGGGUUGGAAUUCCACGUGUAGCAGUGAAAUGCGUAGAUAUGUGGAGGAACACCGAUGGCGAAGGCAGCCCCCUGGGUUAACACUGACGCUCAUGCACGAAAGCGUGGGGAGCAAACAGGAUUAGAUACCCUGGUAGUCCACGCCCUAAACUAUGUCAACUGGUUGUCGGGGGUAUUGAUUCCCUUGGUAACGAAGCUAACGCGUGAAGUUGACCGCCGNGGAGUACGGCGCGAGUAAACGUACAAGAGAGUAGCGNGNGAGNGCGACGACGACGACGACGGAGGAGGAG